rnacentral:rRNA from 1 species
AUGCAGUCGAACGCUGCUUAAGAAGAACUUCGGUUUUUUCUUAAGCGGAGUGGCGGACGGGUGAGUAACACGUGGGGAACCUAUCCAUCAGCGGGGGAUAACACUUGGAAACAGGUGCUAAUACCGCAUACGGCUUUUUUUCACCUGAAAGAAAGCUCAAAGGCGCUUUACAGCGUCACUGAUGGCUGGUCCCGCGGUGCAUUAGCCAGUUGGUGAGGUAACGGCUCACCAAAGCAACGAUGCAUAGCCGACCUGAGAGGGUGAUCGGCCACACUGGGACUGAGACACGGCCCAGACUCCUACGGGAGGCAGCAGUAGGGAAUCUUCGGCAAUGGACGCAAGUCUGACCGAGCAACGCCGCGUGAGUGAAGAAGGUUUUCGGAUCGUAAAGCUCUGUUGUCAGCAAAGAACAGGAGAAAGAGGCAAUGCUUUUUCUAUGACGGUAGCUGACCAGAAAGCCACGGCUAACUACGUGCCAGCAGCCGCGGUAAUACGUAGGUGGCAAGCGUUGUCCGGAUUUAUUGGGCGUAAAGCGAGCGCAGGCGGUGAUUUAAGUCUGAUGUGAAAGCCCCCAGCUCAACUGGGGAGGGUCAUUGGAAACUGGAUCACUUGAGUGCAGAAGAGGAGAGUGGAAUUCCAUGUGUAGCGGUGAAAUGCGUAGAUAUAUGGAGGAACACCAGUGGCGAAGGCGGCUCUCUGGUCUGUAACUGACGCUGAGCUCGAAAGCGUGGGUAGCAAACAGGAUUAGAUACCCUGGAGUCCACGCCGUAAACGAUGAGUGCUAAGUGUUGGAGGGUUUCCGCCCUUCAGUGCUGCAGUUAACGCAUUAAGCACUCCGCUGGGGAGUACGACGC